GACGAACGCUGGCGGCGUGCUUAACACAUGCAAGUUGAGCGGAGCGGCGAACGGGUGAGUAACGCGUGAGUAACUGCCCCCCUCUCUGGGAUAACAGUUGGAAACUGCUGCUAAUACCGGAUAGUGGGGGAUGACUCGCGUUCUAGCAGCUUGUUGGUGGGGUAGUGGCCUACCAAGGCGACGACGGGUAGCCGGACUGAGAGGGCGACCGGCCACAGUGUGCUGGGGUACGGCCCGAACGCCUACGGGAGGCAGCAGUGGUGAAUAUUGCACAAUGGGGGGAACGCUGAUGCAGCAACGCGCGUGCGGGAUGACGGCCUUCGGGUUGUAAACCGCUUUCAGCCAUGACGCGGUAGUGGCAGAAGAAGCACCGGCUAACUACGUGCCAGCAGCCGCGGUAAUUC
rnacentral:rRNA from 1 species